rnacentral:rRNA from 1 species
ACGGAGGGUGCAAGCAUUGAUCGGAAUUACUGGGCGUAAAGGGCGCGUAGGCGGCAAUGUAAGUCAGAUGUGAAAUUCCGGGGCUCAACCCCGGAGCUGCAUUUGAAACUACAUAGCUAGAGUACAGUUAGGGUAAACGGAAUUCCACGUGUAGCGGUGAAAUGCGUAGAUAUGUGGAAGAACACCGGUGGUGAAGACGGUUUACUGGGCUGAAACUGACGCUGAGGCGCGAAAGCAUGGGUAGCAAACAGG